UACGGAAGGCAGCAGUGGGGAAUAUUGGACAAUGGGCGAAAGCCUGAUCCAGCCAUGCCGCAUGAGUGAAGAAGGCCUUCGGGUUGUAAAGCUCUUUUAGUGAGAAAGAUAAUGACGGUACUCACAGAAGAAGUCCUGGCUAACUCCGUGCCAGCAGCCGCGGUAAUACGGAGAGGGCUAGCGUUAUUCGGAAUUAUUGGGCGUAAAGAGCGCGUAGGCUGAUUAGUAAGUUAAAAGUGAAAUCCCAAAGCUUAACUUUGGAAUUGCUUUUUAAAACUGCUAGUCUAGAGAUUUGAAAGAGGAUAGAGGAAUUCCUAGUGUAGAGGUGAAAUUCGUAAAUAUUAGGAGGAACACCAGUGGCGAAGGCGUCUAUCUGGUUCAAAUCUGACGCUGAGGCGCGAAGGGCGUGGGGAGCAACGACGAGUAGU
rnacentral:rRNA from 1 species